GGCCUGUUCGUCUAGGGGUUAGGACACAAGGUUUUCAACCUUGCAACAGGAGUUCGAUUCUCCUACAGGCUACCA
rnacentral:tRNA from 1 species